UUUUUGGUUUUUUAUAAAAAAUGUUUUCUGCUCAAUGUUUAGUAAAUAGCCGCGGUAAUUUGACCGUGCAAAGGUAGCAUAAUCAUUUGCUCUGUAAUUUAGGGCUUGUAUGAAUGGGAUUAUCGAGAAUUUUUCUGUCUUUAUUUUUUAAGUAGAAGUUGUAUUUCAUGCGAAGAUACAUGAAUUUAAAAAUAGGACAAGAAGACCCUUUGAGCUUUAUUUUUUAUUUUUUUUUUAAUUAUUUUUUGAUUUGGUUGGGGUGAUCGGGAAAGAGGUUUGAUAAUCUUUCUUUUUUUUUAUUUUGAACCAGUAUUGUUGGUUUAUAGAACAAGUUACCGAAGGGAUAACAGCGUAAUUUUUUUUGAGAGUUCUUAUUAAAGAAAAAGAUUGCGACCUCGAUGUUGACUUAUAGUUUCUUUUUGGUGUAGGCGCUAAUUAAGUAGGUCUGUUCGACCUUUAAAACUUU
rnacentral:rRNA from 1 species